ACUCAAAUGAAUUGACGGGGGCCCGCACAAGCGGUGGAGCAUGUGGAUUAAUACGUCAUUAACCGUAGAACCUUACCCAGGUUUGACAUCCCAGGAACCCCUCUGAAAGGAGGGGGUGCCCCGCAAGGGGAGCCUGGAGACAGGUGUUGCAUGGCUGUCGUCAGCUCGUGUCGUGAGAUGUUGGGUUAAGUCCCGCAACGAGCGCAACCCUCACCGCCUGUUGCCAGCAUUCAGUUGGGCACUCUGGCGGAACUGCCCGGGUAACCGGGAGGAAGGUGGGGAUGACGUCAAGUCAGCAUGGCCCUUACGCCUGGGGCUUCACACAUGCUACAAUGACCAGUACAAAGAGUUCCGAUACCGCGAGGUGGAGGCAAUCUCAAAAAGCUGGUCUCAGUGCGGAUCGCAGGCUGCAACUCGCCUGCGUGAAGUCGGAAUCGCUAGUAACCGCCGGUCAGCUAAACGGCGGUGAAUACGUUCCCGGGCCUUGUACACACCGCCCGU
rnacentral:rRNA from 1 species